rnacentral:rRNA from 1 species
GUGCACCAGGCGCGAAACCUCCGCAAUACACGAAAGUGUGACGGGGCCAUCCCGAGUGCCGUCCGCUGAGGACGGCUUUUCCCCAGUGUACACAGCUGGGGGAAUAAGGAGAGGGCAAGCCUGGUGUCAGCCGCCGCGGUAAUACCAGCUCUCCGAGUGGUGGGGACGCUUAUUGGGCCUAAAGCAUCCGUAGCCGGCUGGGCAAGUCCUCCGUUAAAUCCAACGAUUCAAUCGUUGGGCUGCGGGGGAUACUGUCCAGCUUGGGGGCGGGAGAGGCCGACGGUAUUCCCGGGGUAGGGGUGAAAUCCUAUAAUCCCGGGAGGACCACCAGUGGCGAAGGCUGUCGGCUAGAACGCGCCCGACGGUGAGGGAUGAAAGCUGGGGGAGCGAACCGGAUUA